AUUUAGAAUUACAAAAUAAUGGCGGAAGAAGGAAUACACGAAGUUCGACAGAGUACAGAUGCAUCAUGGGAAGAAGGCGGAACGCCGAAUGUUUUAAAAGAACAGAUCGGCGUUUGGUGACGUCAUGUUUUCUGACGCACAUUUCUAUGCUGCACAAAAAUAUUUGCGGCAUUAACGCUUGCGCUUGGUGUAAACCUGCCUUAAAUGUUCCUAUCCGGAAAAAUAAUGUAAAAAAAAACUCCAAAUUCUUACUGGCAUCUGAAACUAAUUCUAUAAUUUAUUUAUAUUGCUGAUUUAUCUUCGUCACUUUUGUUGUUUAAUUAAAGUAAAUUAACCACAAAAGUGACAAUUUUAUUGAAAAUUUACUUUUUGUUUAUUUUUUACUUGUUAAUUUACUUUAUUUUAA
rnacentral:lncRNA from 1 species